rnacentral:tRNA from 1 species
AUGUUUGUUAGCUUUAUUAGCGGUUUCAAUGUUAAUGAAAUAUAAGAGGUUGUACGAA